rnacentral:rRNA from 1 species
UACAUGCACCAAAGCUCCGAUUUUUUGAAGAGCGCAUCUAUUAGAUUAAAACCAAUCGGGUUCGCGCCCGUCAAUUGGUGACUCUGAAUAACUAUAGCUGAUCGCAUGGUCUUGAACCGGCGACGUGUCUAUCAAGUGUCUGCCUUAUCAACUUUCGAUGGUAGUUUAUGUGCCUACCAUGGUUGUAACGGGUAACGGAGAAUAAGGGUUCGACUCCGGAGAGGGAGCCUGAGAAACGGCUACCACAUCCAAGGAAGGCAGCAGGCGCGCAAAUUACCCACUCUCGGCAAGAGGAGGUAGUGACGAAAAAUAACGAGACCGUACUCUUUGAGGCCGGUUAUCGGAAUGGGUACAAUUUAAACCCGUUAACGAGGAUCUAUGAGAGGGCAAGUCUGGUGCCAGCAGCCGCGGUAAUUCCAGCUCUCAAAGUGUAUAUCGUCAUUGCUGCGGUUAAAAAGCUCGUAGUUGGAUCUGCGCCUCAGGACUUGGUCCGCCCACUGGGCGAGAACUAGGCUCCUGGGCUAGUUCUGCUGGUUUUCUCUACGUUGCCUUCAUCGGUCGCGUAGGGUGGCUAGCGAGUUUACUUUGAAAAAAUUAGAGUGCUUCACGCGAGCUUAUGUCUGAAUACUCGUGCAUGGAAUAAUAGAAUAGGAUCUCGGUUCUAUUUUGUUGGUUUUCUGAUCUGAGAUAAUGGUUAAGAGGGACGGACGGGGGCAUUCGUAUCGCUGCGUGAGAGGUGAAAUUCUUGGACCGUAGCGAGACGCCCGACUGCGAAAGCAUUUGCCAAGAAUGUCUUCAUUAAUCAAGAACGAAAGUCAGAGGUUCGAAGG